rfam:Triticum urartu cultivar G1812 contig273493, whole genome shotgun sequence.
UUAGUACUCCAUUUGCCCGGAAAUACUUGUCAUUAAAAUAGAUAAAAGGAUGCAUUUUAGUUCUACAUACAUCCCUUAUAUUCAUUUUGAUGACAAAUAUUUCCGGACGGAGGGAGUAAUAG